UUGCUUCGGCAGCACAUAUACUAAAAUCAGAACAAUACAGAGAAGAUCAGCAUGGGACCUGCAUGAGGAUGACACAAAAUUUUGUUAAGCGUUCCAUUGAGCU